rnacentral:misc_RNA from 1 species
UACAUGCUUAGCCUAUAUCUUGAGAUAAACAAAAACAUAACCUUAAUAUCAUUUAGUUUUCUAGCGUGUAAAAUACGUAUAAAUUCUCACUAAAAAUGCUGUUAAACACAAAUUCAUACCUGAAAAAAAGAACAGAACUAGAACCUCACAAUGUGUAUACAGACUUCAGUUCGACUAGUUUAUUUGAUGGCCCAGACAGGUCCUUUAAGAUGGUUAAUAUUGGCUUACCAUCCCCUAUCACAGGGCCUCUACCAGUGUCCUCUGAAAUGAAAGACCCCAUUAAUCAGGUUUUAUUGGAUAACAAAGAAUAUAAAAGCAGCUUAAGACAGAAUCAUUCAAAAAAAUUGCUUAAAGAGGUGAGAAACAUUCAAAGUAAACAAUCCAAUUACAAGUAUAUUCCGAAGAAGUUGCUUAAACUUUAUAAACUAAAGCAGCCCAGUGAGGACUUAAACAUUGAUUACAAUAUGUUUUAUACCAAUGGGAUAUUGGAUACAAUUGUACUGGGGGCUGCAACCUAUUUAGUCUGGAGAAAUUUGGAUGAUUCACUUCAGUUUUGGAACACUACCAACGAGAAUGAUAGUUUUAACAUUUCCUUAUGGACUGACUCUCCAAUCUAUUCAGUUAAAGCAUACAAUAUUGGCUCCAACUCUUUCGUACUACUAAGAAUGAAGUUUUCUAUAAAUUUGAUUCAGGUUUAUGAGUCUACUCGGUUUUCAAAAGUAUUGGAGCAUACAUUUGAUAAAGCUAUUAUUGAUGCUAAGAUAAAUUACACUUUAAAGGAACACUUUGGAGCAAUACACCUGGAUAAUGAGUUUGUGGUGAGGAAAAGUAAAUCUAAAAAGGUCAUGUGUACUUACAAAAGUAAAAAUAAAUUACUCCAAUUUGACUUUUUGAGACAUUCUACAGUUCUUCUAAUGGAUAUUUUUACAGUUACACUAUUUGAUUACAAGGAUAAUAACGUCUUAAGAACUUUUGAACCACAUCUUAUGGCUUGCAAUCAGUUCUGUAACUUUAAAAUUAUUGGUGAUCAACUAAUACUUGCCUCUCGACAUUAUAUUAUUAAGACUGAUAUACCCACUUUUCAAGAUUUUUCUUAUUUUGGUCAUACUCUGGGGCAUGCACCAAUUUUCUUGGAUAUUCUGGAGUCUGGUGAUUGUAACUUUUUGUGUGCAGCAAAUCAUUUUGAAGAUGAAAAAGUAUUCUUUGCAGGGAGAGUAUUAUAUGGUUUACCACAGAAGGUGCCUGGAGUAAAAUCCACUUUAAAAGAAGCAAUCACGAUAAAUUCCAAACUGGUUUUAAAGGAAGCUCUUAAUCAUAGAGUAAAUUUUGCCACUGCUGGUCUAAAAUUUGUUGAAAACAAUGGUAAGAUUUUGCUAUUUUUUGUUAAUUCACUUGGGGAGCUAUGGAGUCAAGAAAUAUCUUUUGAAAAUAUUAAGAAUGAUGAGGGAAUUAACAAAUUUAUGUCCUGGGCAGAAAAAGUAAAUAACCCAGAGCCUCGUUUGACUGUCACCGAUUUUGCUGAAAUGGGCGACUGUUUUUUAUUUCUAAACAGACCAUUAGAAAAAAGCAAAGGAAAAUCCCAUGCAGAAAAGUCCAUACAAAACAUGACAAAGUUUUUGAAUCAAAAUAAGCCAAUAUACAGCAAAAAAAAUAUACAAAGUACUUUUGGAAAAGCAUUUUGUGAAAUUUGGGAAAAUAGUGACUCCGAAUCAGAUCACAAUGGUGAAGAAGUAGUAGAUGAACCUGAAGUACCUUAUUUCGAUAAAGUUAGCAACUGGAUGGAUAAACAUGUUGAGGAUGGUGAAAUUUCAAAUAGCUUUGCUGAAAUAUUUCUUGACACUUAAGGUUAUCAUUAGUUUGAUGUAUUGGUGAGUCUCCAAUGAGAUUAUCUUUGCAGCCCCUCUCGCCUGAACCUUCACUCGAUGCUCCAGUGCUGUGUUGUAUGGUGCGUGCCCAAGGAUCCCAUAAUAGCGACCCGUCAAAAAUAUUAACAUGCAACCGAAUCCUGUUAAGAACAUCAGAAUGUAUGAACACCAAUGUGUUGGACUGUG